UACGUAGGCAGCAAGCGUUGUUCGGAGUUACUGGGCGUAAAGGGUGUGUAGGCGGUUCUUUAAGUUUGGUGUGAAAUCUCCCGGCUCAACCGGGAGGGUGCGCCGAAUACUGAGGGACUCGAGUGCGGGAGAGGAGAGUGGAAUUCCUGGUGUAGCGGUGAAAUGCGCAGAUAUCAGGAAGAACACCCGUGGCUAAGGCGGCUCUCUAGUACGGUACUGACGCUGAGACGCGAAAAGCGUGGGGAGCGAACAGG
rnacentral:rRNA from 1 species